AUGUAAAUGAGGUGUAUUAA
rnacentral:siRNA from 1 species